CCUACGGGAGGCUGCAGUGGGGAAUCUUGCGCAAUGGGCGAAAGCCUGACGCAGCAACGCCGCGUGUGUGAUGAAGGUCUUCGGAUCGUAAAGCACUGUCGCGAGGGACGAAUAAGGGCCGGGCGAAUAUCCCGGUUCGAUGACGGUACCUCGAAAGGAAGCACCGGCUAACUCUGUGCCAGCAGCCGCGGUAAUACAGAGGGUGCUAGCGUUGUUCGGAAUUAUUGGGCGUAAAGCGCGUGUAGGCGGCUCCGCAAGUUGGGUGUGAAAGCCCU
rnacentral:rRNA from 1 species